UACGUAGGGGGCUAGCGUUGUCCGGAAUCAUUGGGCGUAAAGAGCGCGUAGGCGGCCCGGUAAGUCUGCUGUAAAAGUCAAAGGCUUAACCUUUGAAAGUCAGUGGAUACUGCCGGGCUAGAGUCCGGAAGAGGCGAGUGGAACUCCUGGUGUAGCGGUGGAAUGCGCAGAUAUCAGGAGGAACACCUAUUGCGAAGGCAGCUCGCUGGGACGUAACUGACGCUGAGACGCGAAAGCGUGGGGAGCAAACAGG
rnacentral:rRNA from 1 species